CUCCUCCCAAGUCGGCAGUCGGCGACUCGGCGAUCUGAAUCAGCGGCACUCAAACCUCAAAGCCCGCAACGGCGUAAUGGGGAAGCCCGAGCGGCUGCGCCCGACCGGGACCGGUGCCUAUUUUAAUCCUGCCAAAUUUAUGCUUUGUCCUCCUCCUGCUGCCUAUAAACGCCCACGCCCCUUCCCCUUCCUCCGACCACCACCACCUUGCCGACCUCAGCUGAUCUAGGGUUUAGCGGAGUGACCUCGCGGAGGGCGCCCUCGCGCCGAAGCGAGGCGUGGAUCAAUCCAGAUAUGCAUUUGGGGGGCAGCAAGCUCGAGGCGGCAACUGCAUAACUUGCAAGAAUUUGUUGGUUGAGGGUCAUACCGAUGAUGCUCUUGCACGUUAUGCAGUUGCUGCCUCAAGCUUCCUGCCUCCCUUUGCCAGAACUAGUAAGAUAAAAAGCUUUCAAUUAACACAGACGAGUGAUUUUGCAGCCAUAUGUUCUGUACUUUAGGAUAUGGAAAUACAACAACAAACAAAAGAGCAAAACCUUUUGCUUCCAAGGAAGUUGAUUUUUUAGAUAUGAAACCCAACAAGAGCCACCGAUGAGGAUAUAUAAAUAAAAAGGAAAUAAAAAUGCAACAUGCAAUCAGAUGCUACAGCGACAUGUAGACACACUAGCAUUUUUGUGAAGGACAUCUAUGGUUUGAAAAUUAUUAAUGGUUCAAGAGCAAUUAAGUCUUUGGAUACUGUGUAACUGUUUAUGCAGUAAUGCAAUUCUUUGAGAUUGGUAGCUGUACUGCUUUUAUCAUCCUUGUUUACUUCACGAAAAUAUUUUGCUUUCAACAUAACUUGAUCAGAACAUUCAUUGCACCUUUAAACAUCAUUUACCAUUUCUAUUAACCUUGGUUCACUUUGAUAUUCUCCUGUCGUACAUAUGCAUCAGAAAAUGUUACCAUUUAACAUGACAACUUAACUGCGAUAUUUGUUCUGCACAGCUUGAGUAAGUGCUAUCGGCAUAGUUGAGAUAGUGUAAAAUGCAUUCAGGCUCAGGGAGCCAAGAUGCCACUGCAUGAUAGAUAUAUCGUGCUAAGCUACAAACGUUUUAACACCUCUUGGAAAUAAUUUUCUUGGUUCUUUUGUAAAUUCACACCAUUUUGUACUAUUUUGGAAGCAAAUGGAAAAAGGUUGUGUGGUUUGGUGCUUAUGGCUUUAUCACUUAUAAACCUGGCUGGUUUAGACCACCUUCAUCUGGUGAUCAAGAACCCACAGCCAAUAGUACUGGUCUCCCAACACAAGUUCUGGAGGAUGAAAGGUAACUGGCAGAUGAAAUGUUUCUCAGUUUUGUAAUUUGUAAUAUAUUGGGUAAACUGAGUUCAUGGAUAUAGUAGGUGAUGCUUCAUAGCAGCUACUUCAUUAUAUUGCAUUCGAGUCAUUUACAAUUAGCAUGAUGUUCAUGGUGCUUAUAUCAGGGUCAGGAUAUGUCAAAUUUCAGGUGCUUAUGGCUUGGUCUGUGCUAACACUAUGGCGAUCAAUAAGUUGCCUUACAGGCCUACAAAUGUACAAUUUAUACACGAUCUGCCUGUUAAACCACAUAUAUGGCAGCUAAACCACAAUAACUUGAUCACAACUGUUUUUCCUUUCUCUGAUUCAGCUAUCCAUGCUACAACAAAAAUAUAGUGACCUUGAAUAUCGAACUUGUUAACACAUAUAUGGUAGCUAAAUCUCCCAGCUUUUAAUUCUAAGUGCAGUUUUAUGGCUUACACAUGUAAGUGGCACAUUGUGUAAAAAACUGAGAAAUAAAUGAUAAUCUUUGCUGCUAUUAUCAGUCAAUUGAUAUAAAACUUUUGUUGGAUAGUUCUUCUGUUGGACCAUGUUACUAGGUUCUCUUUGGAGUUUUGUUACUUGACUUAGGAAUAAAAGGGCUUCUAGCGUUCCAAAUUGUAGGUCGUUUUGACUUUUCUAGGUUCAUAGAUGAUAAUAUUUAUGAAUCUAAAAAAGUUAAAACGACCUUACAUACAAUUUGGAACAAUUUGAAUUUGAAACGGAGGGAGUAAUAGUCAGCAAUGGAGGGAAAAGAUCUGAUUGUCAAGUUAUGUUUGGAACCAUAUUCUGCACCAAAAAUGUUUAUGGGUGCAUUUUUUUUUCAUCGUUGGUUGUAGACAAAUCAGCGUUGCCUCUGCUGUACUGUUUGACAAGUUAGAUUAUUUGUAGACAAAUCAAUGGAACUGUAACACUCAGUAUGCGCAAAGGUUAAAAUACGUGAAAAUAUGUAAAGAUGGUAGGCGGAAGUUGACUUUUAGAUUCGUCCCUCGUAUGGAUAAAUGGAGGUUAUAGUUGCGUAAAGCUCGUUAAAUUUAUUCCGUUUGAUCACUAGUGUAUCGUUGGGAGUUUGGGUCACGAACUCAUGGAUGCGGCAUUUUUAACCGCGCUCAGCUACAGUAGUCGCGGCUACGGUUGCUGAGUUGGUCUCGUUGUCAGAGUUCUUUUUUUCUUCUUUUCCCCUUUCCACCGUGACCCCAUUUCUUUUUCAUGGAUGCGGCAUUUUUAACCGCGCUCAGCUACAGUAGUCGUGGCUACAGUUGCUGAGUUGGUCUUGUUGUCAGAGUUCUUUUUUCUUCUUUUCCCCUUUCCACCGUGACCCCAUUUCUUUUCGAAACCCUCAAAGUCCCUAUCUCCUACCCCGUGCACGGCCACCUCCCUUUGCUGUGCUCCACAGGAGGGAGAGAGGGAGAGGAGAGAAGAGAAGAGGAGAGAAGAGAAGAAAAUUAGGGUACGCCAUCUGUCAUCACCGUUACUCCAAAAAUUGGUUGGGCUUCCUUUCCUCCUUCCGUUUUCCUCGAUUGAUUGCCUUUCCUCGCUGUUUAAGGUGGUGCCCCCAUGUGUGGUGCAAUUUAGAUGCAAUCGACGGGGCUGCCAUGACGUUCGUUGCUAGGGAGAGGAAAACGACCGAGUGUCAUUGUUGGGAUCGCUGCCGUCGCCAUUGCCCUUACUGUUUUCAAGGGAAACCCUAGGUGAGGCAUGCCCCCGCUGUAAUCCAUAUUUUCCCUAAGGUUUCAGAUGUUCUAGCACGUGGUGUAGCAGCACUCGACGCCGUUAAGGGGUAGGUAAAGUUUUGCCCUCAUCACUGUUUUUAGCGUGUAGUCAAUCUGCGCAGUUUUCAGUAAUGGCUAUUUUACGUCCUCUUAAUGGCUUCAAAAAAAUAUAAAACCUAUAUAUGAGUGGUAGAAGAUUUGCAGAGCUUUCCAUAGCCGUAAAGAACACUACAAUCGGAUUUAAUAGCUGAGAGAUAUUGGAGUUUGAUUCUAUCAGUUUUUCAGCCUCGUAAUUCUGGGAGAAUCUGUUCACCUAAAGUUUAGGCAACCCAAACGAUAGAAUUGGAUCUUUGAAUGAAUAAAGAAGUUGUAGGAAAUUUUAUAAGAUUUUCAGAUUGAUGAAGUGCAUCUUCAUAUGAAUUUUGGAGCUCUAAGUAUACCUGUUUUAUUAGGAUUGUUUUGCAAUUAUUGUCAGAUUUUUAGUUUGAGGUUCAUGUCAAGAUUAGCCUAUGUUCAGAAUUUUUCUUCUAUUUUUGGAUCACGAGGAAGUUGUAAGUUAUGAAGUUAUCCUUCAGAUGGCACAAGAUGAGAAUUUUUAGCUGUCAAGAUUAAAAGAUAAAAAAAGAGAAGCAACAGAGCUGCUAUCAUGUUUAGAUUUGUGUGUGUUUUUGUGAGAAUGUCGGGUUCGAGCCUAGAAACACUUUGAAUUAUGUUGUUUAUGCUUGUGUGUUUGUGUUGGUGCUGAGUUAUAUUUGUGAACAGGUGGUGCACCUUUGGAUCGUGCUUAGCUCACGGUCUUAGUCUUCGGUGAAGGUAAGUAAACGUAGCGAUGUGGUCUACAUGCUGUAACUUUGUUGUUUGAAUUGCCUCCAUUUAAUUUCAGUACCUCACACUAGCAAGAUAAAUCUGAAAUUUUUCUUUAUAUUGAAGUAUCUUGUUCCAGUUGAGGCUUUACUUUUGAAGUUAUGAAUUUGAAGUAUAUGAAGUUCAUGCAUUGCAAUCUUGCAUUCGCAUUCUCAUGUUGUUUACGCAUACGAAGAAACCGUAGCCGGAUUGGUGCGGGAAGUACCGGUACAGCAACGCACGUUGAGAUAUAAUAAUGUGGUUGCAGCUCUCACCUCCUUCCUUGCCUCCUUCCUUGGGAUAUAUGGGUAGAAGUGAAGUUAUGCAUUGCAUUGCACCAUUCGCAUUUCAUUAUGAAAUGUUAUUGUGAAGUAUUUAUUUAUCUUACUACCCGAAGUUAUGUGCUGCUUCUGACUCUUAAAUUGAUGCUUAAUAUAUUGUGAUUUAAAUAACUUGUUUGAAGCAGUUUGCUUGCUGAGGUUUUCCAUAAACCUCAUACGCUUUUUCCCCUCCGCAGGUUCUUGAGCUUGGAGGGUGCUUGGUUGGAUGGGGAGUAGCAGCACGUAUGCUCACACUUCUUCAUACAUAUAUUUUGGACACAUGUGUUGUAAUAAAAAUAUUUGGUUGUGCAGGCUUUUGCUUUGCUUUUAAUCUCAUAUUUGGCAGUUUGUAAGAUGUUCUAUCUAGAUGAUUUAAGUUGCUUCCACGUGCUCUGUUUAUUUAUCUUUGUUACUGUUUUUUUAUGUGUGUGCCUGUAGUAGUUGUAGUGUAGUGUGGUAACGUUCCAAAAUAAUGUUGCUGCUGUUCUGGAGUGUUACAGGAACUGAAGUAAUACCCAAGUUAGAUUAUUUCAAAAUUUAUCAAAGAGGACCUUCAUUA